rnacentral:rRNA from 1 species
GAUGAACGCUGGCGGUAUGCUUAACACAUGCAAGUCGAACGGACUCUUCGGAGUUAGUGGCGGACGGGUGAGUAACGCGUUAUAAUCUGGCUUUGGGUUCGGGACAACCACUGGAAACGGUGGCUAAUACCGGAUUUUCCGUGAGGUAAAAGAUUAAUUGCCUGAAGAUGAGCUCGCGUCUGAUUAGCUAGUUUGUAAGGUAAGGUCUAAACAAGGCAGCGAUCAGUAUCUGGUCAGAGAGGAUGACCAGCCAACGUGAGAAUGAGACACGGCCGAGAAGACUACGGGAGGCAGCAGAGGGGAAUUAUGCGGAAAGGGCGAAAGAAAGACGAAGCAAUACCGGGUGAGGAAAGAAGGAACUGGGGUUGAAAAGCUAUUAACUUAAGGAAGAACAAAAUGACGGUACCUAAGGAAUAAGCAGCGGCUAACUACGUG